rnacentral:lncRNA from 1 species
CAAUAAAAAUUACCUUUUACUAGCUAAAAUUUACCAUUUUUACCGUCGUCACAAUUUCUCCUACGAAUAAUUCCUCCGAAAUAAUUGUCCCUCAAAACCCCUCUAGGGACCAAAUAAACUAUAAAUUCAUUGACGGAGACGGUAAAAUUCUUAUUAUAACCCAGCUAGUAAAUAAGGUAAAAAUUUACGGGUUAGGACGUGACAGUGAGAAUCUACAUGUACAUGGUAAUUGCCCUUUGUUUUGGGAUUUCUUUUACUGUGCAUAUUUUUAUGAAAUGUCUUUGUCCUGACAGACUUUACAUUGUCGUUUAAGAAAUGCUAAUUAAACUACUUGUGGAAAGUUGUUUUCAUAAUUUUACCAUGCUCGAGCCUUGAUUGGCUUAAUAGAGGAACAAAUUGGUACUCAAGUUAUGUAGAGUCCAAUGAAUUAAAGUCUAGUUAUGAUAGUUCAACCAUCUGUAAAAUAGAGUAAGAAGAAGAUAUAUUAGUGUCACAGUCUCAAUAGACAUCCAUUAGUACUAUAAUAUUCUAAGAUGUAGAAUCUUCGUUUCGAAUGUGAAAUUUCGUCAUCACAAUCGAAUUUACUGUUUAAUAAUUAUAAUUUUUUAUCGUAUAAGCUCAUGAAAUUUCAUUAUCAUUUCUUUCUACGUAGUCAUAGAGCAUCCACGUUAAGCAAUUUCCAAGAUAUAUGAAUUAGAUUUGAGGACCAAGAUUUAUAGUGAUCACAUUUUUUUUCGAUGCUUUGUGAAAUUGCUUCAUCACAAGUUUGUUAUUUUGAUGCUAUCAAUUUGUUUUAUCAUAGCAGCAGAAUUUAUACGAUAUGCUAAUAAAUAAUCAUUUAAUUAAACUAUAACAUAUAACAUUGUAACAUGUCACAAUGAUCGCAAAAUAAUUUCUUCAAAUAACAUGUUAAAUAUCAUGUAUUAGCAUAAAUUUAACGAAAACGACAAUUUUAACAUAAAUCAUACUUGUGAGUCUGCCAAAUAGACUACAUGUGAAGCGGUUACUCUUGUAAUUAAUGUUUUUGAUCCUUGCGUUAUAAUUGGUUAAUUACAUGCAGAAAACAAUAAUAUAUAUGAUUAGCACGUUAAUUAUUUAUAUUUGAUUCAAAUCAUUAUAAACAAUAAGUAAUAUUGUGUUAUUGCAAAUAGUAUUUAAGUCAUUGAAACAGUAAUUAUAUUUUCAGUUUUACCAUUUCAAUUUCCACAACCGUAAAGAGUAAAUCUGUUGGUAAUAAACAGUAACUCUAAAUUACCGCAUGGUAAAUUUGUAAAAUUACCUUCGUAAAUUCUCUGAUUUACCAGAAAGAGUAAAAAAAAAAAAUUUUUUUCUGGGUCGGGUUGGAUCGGACGCCGGGUGGGGCUCUGUUGCCGGAUUCAGGUCGAGCAAGUCCCGAUCGGACUUGACUGCUGUGUUUGGGUCGCCGGCAAGGGUGUAUCGUCAGGGUAGAUCGACGCUGGGUGUCGCCGGACGUGUGGGGAUUGGCCCGAGUAGUCGCCGGGGGCUGGGCUGCCGGAUUGGAGAGCGUUGGAGUUGAUCGGGGCGGCGCGACAGAUCCGAUCUGGGUCGAGGUCGGUCGGGACUGUGCCGCUAGGCUGCCACCGUUCUGUGUCGCCGUCGUUCGGGGUUGGACUGGGGCGGCAUGAAAGGAGAAGACCGAGCGGUGCUAAACCGUUCAUGCCGGAGUUGUUGCUGUGUCCGUAAGCUGGGCAGGGCGAGUGAUCCGGCAAAGGUCCAAUCUGGGUUGCCGGAUCGGGGGCGCCGUGGAGGGUCGGAGCGGCGCACGGGGCUGGCUCGCCCUCUUCUCUUCCUCUGUGGCCUUCGAUUCUAAAUCAAGCGAAAUAUAUAUGUAGACUAAUGACAGAAUCAAAGCACAAAGAAAAGAACAUAGAAAAAAGGAGGGAGAAGUAGGGCUGCGUCGCUGGUAGGCGUGGGUGCGGUGUUUCUUCGCCGGAGGGAGGGGAAGGCAGGGGCCUGGGGGUUAGCAACGGCGAAUGAAAACGUAGUAUUUUAGGGUUUUUGUUUUCUUUUCUCUCGAGCGUAAAGCAAACGUAGUAUUUUAAGGUUUUUGUUUUCUUUUCUCUCAAGCGUAAAGCAAACGUAGUAUUUUAGGGUUUUUGUUAGCAAACUCUCAAGCGUAUUUGUUUUCUUUUCUCUCAAGCCAAAAUGUUGAUAACGUGUUACAAGAAAUAUGACAAUUAGAAUUAGUCUCCUCAUUUCAUUAACAAUCUUUUUUAUAUAGAGGUCAAUUACAACGAUAAAUACACGUACAUAAUAACGAUAUCUAAUGCUAAUAACAACGUACAUAAUGACUAAUUGAGCUGUUACGUCCUUGGUAAAUAACUUCCUAAUUUACUUUAGUCAGUUAUUUUGACGAAGACACACUUAAGAUAUUUUUCCUUCAACAAUUCCAGAUAUUUUUCUUUCACAUAAAAAGUCCUAACAGCAAUUCCAGAUUCAGCUAUCCAGAUGGCUCAUGCAUAUAUGUUGCUUCACAGAACUAGGGAGUGAUAGAAUUAGGUGUCUUAGUGUUAUUUUGAAAUUAUUUGGUCAAGAUUGCGUACAAGAACGUAUUGUGCUCAAGUGUUUUGUAAUAAAAUAUGAAAGUUGUACGCGCGCGGCAGCUAGUAACACUUUGUAUCUUUGCAUUUCCUAGAAUUCUCAUAACUUUAAUUUUGAGAAGCUAG